GAUGAACGCUGGCGGCGUGCCUAAUACAUGCAAGUCGAGCGGACAGACGAGGAGCUUGCUCCUCUGACGUUAGCGGCGGACGGGUGAGUAACACGUGUAUAACCUACCUAUAAGACUGGGAUAACUUCGGGAAACCGGAGCUAAUACCGGAUAAUAUAUUGAACCGCAUGGUUCAAUAGUGAGAGUCGGUUUUUCUGUCUCUUAUAGAUGGAUCGGCGCCGUAUUAGCUAGUUGGUAAGGUAACGGCUUACCAAGGCAACGAUGCGUAGCCGACCUGAGAGGGGGAUAGGCCACCUGGGAGCGGAGACGGGGACAAGACUCCUACGGGAGGCAGCAGAAGGGAACCUUCCGCAAUAGGGGAAAGCCUGACGGAGUAACGCGGAGUGAGAGAUAAAGGUGUCGCGAGCGUAAAACUCUGUUAUUAGGGAAGAACAAAUGUGUAAGUAAAUAUGCACGUCUUGACGGUACCGAAUCAGAAAGCCACGGCUAACUACGUG
rnacentral:rRNA from 1 species